rnacentral:lncRNA from 1 species
AAUUAAGUAUUUAUUUUUUACUAGAGCACAUGUAUCAAAUAUUCAUUAAGCCACAUAAUGUCGUUUAAUCUGGGUAUCAAAUUAAAUAUUGAAGCCAAACUCAAGUAUCAAAUAAAGACAAAAAAAAAAAACUUAGACACCAAAUGAUGUAUUAACCCCACCUUUAAAAAAAACUCAUUAAACCCCCCCACCCCCAAAUUUUCUUACCCUUUUAAUUUCUUCCAACACUU